rnacentral:tRNA from 1 species
UCCUCGAUAGCUCAAUGGUAGAGCAUUCGGCUGUUAACCGAAGGGUUGCUGGUUCCAGCCCAGCUCGGGGAG